rnacentral:tRNA from 2 species
UGGGUAGCUCAGUUGGAUAGAGCAGCAGUUUCCUAAACUGUUGGUCGCGGGUUCGACUCCCGCCUCG